GCUGGGCAUGGUGGCACAUGCCUGUAAUCCUAGCAGCUCUGGAGGCUGAGGCAGGAGGCUCACGAGUUCAAAACCAGCCUCAGCAACAGCGAGGCACAAAGCAAUUUGGUAAGAGCCUGUCUCUA
rnacentral:sRNA from 1 species